CUUCCUCUCUCGGGGCUGGAAGCUUCCUGACUGAAGAUCUCUCUGCACUUGGGGUUCUUUCUAGAACAUUUUCUAGUCCCCCAACACCCCUUAUGGCGUAUUUCUUUAAAAAAAUCACCUAAAUUCCAUAAAAUAUUUUUUAAAAUUCUAUACUUUCUCCUAGUGUUUUCUUGACACGUCCUCCAUAUUUUUUUUUAAAAAAGUAUUUGGAAUAUUUUGAGGCAAUUUUUAAUUUUUAAGGAAUUUUUUUUGGAAUCAUUUUUGGUUGACAUCUUUGAUUUUGUGGAUCAGUUUUCCACUCUUCCACUUUCUUUUCUAUAUUUUGCCCAUCGGGGCUGCGGAUACCUGGUUUUAUUAUUUUUUCUUUGCCCAACGGGGCUGUGGAUACCUACCUUUUAAUUCCUUUUUAUUCGCCCAUCGGGGCCGCGGAUACCUGCUUUUUAUUUUUUUUUUUUUCCUUAGCCCAUCGGGGCAUCGGAUACCUGCUGAUUCCCUUCCCCUCUGACCCCCCAACACUCUGGCCCAUCGGGGUGACGGAUACCUGCUUUUUAAAAAUUUUCUUUUUUUGGCCCAUCGGGGCUUCGGAUACCUGCUUUUAUUUUUUAUUUUUCCUUGCCCAUCGGGGCCUCGGAUACCUGCUUUAAUUUUUGUUUUUCUGGCCCAUCGGGGCCGCGGAUACCUGCUUUGAUUUUUUUUUUCCAUCGCCCGUCGGUGCCUUUUAUGGAUGAAAAAAUAUUGGUUUUGUGGGUUGUUGCACUCUCUGGAAUAUCUACACUUUUUUUGCUGCUGAUCAUUUGGUGGUGUGUGAGUGUACCUAUGGCUUUGGCAGGGAAUGACUCUGCAGUUAAGCUAAGGGCGUGGAGGAAAAGUGGCCGCCAUUUUAGACUUGCCGCAUAACUCAGCUUAGGGCUAGUCGUUUGUGCUAAGUUUAAACUAGGGAGGCAAGAUGGAUGAUAGGUCAGGCAGAGGAAGUCAUGUGCAUUGCAUGAGCUAAACCUAUCUGAAUGAGUUGAUUUGGGGCUUGUUACGAGCUUUGCGUGAUUGUUGUAUCGGGAGGCAGUAAGAUAGAAUCGUCUUUCGUCAGUACAAGGCACUCCUUGAGAAUGAAAGGUUAGAAAAGACUAAGGUGCAAGGCUUAAAAUGGCGAUUUUGACAUUGCGGCAUUGCUCAGCAUGGCGGGCUGUGCUUUGUUAGGUUGUCCAAAAUGGCGGAUCCAGUUCUGUCGCAGUGUUCAAGUGGCGGGAAGGCCACAUCAUGAUGGGCGAGGCUUUGUUAAGUGGUUAGCAUGGUGGUGGACAUGUGCGGUCACACAGGAAAAGAUGGCGGCUGAAGGUCUUGCCGCAGUGUAAAACAUGGCGGGCCUCUUUGUCUUUGCUGUGUGCUUUUCGUGUUGGGUUUUGCCGCAGGGACAAUAUGGCAGGCGUUGUCAUGUGUAUAUCAUGGCUUUUGUCACGUGGACAUCAUGGCGGGCUUUUGCUCGGUGCAAUCUUGGCGGGCUUGCCGCAUUGUUAAAGAUGGCGGGUUUUGCCGCCUAGUGCCAUGCAGAGCGGGAGAGAAAGUGGGAUGGACAGUGCUGGAUUGUCGCAUAACCCAACCAAUUAGAAAUGGGGGUGGAAUUGAUCACAGCCAAUUAGAGCAGAAGAUGGAAUUAGACUGAUGACACACUGUCCAGCUACUCAGCGAGGACUUGGGUGAAUUAGCAUAGCACUUCGCAGCUGUCUUUAGCCAGUAAAAGAAAGAAGUGGAGGGGCCACGUGUAUGUCUCCCAGUGGGCGGUACACCAGGUGUUUUCAAGGUCUUUUCAAGGACAUUUGGCCUUUCCACCUCUGUCCCCUCUGAUUUGUCACCUCCUGUCCAGUGCUGCCUCUUGCAGUGCUGGAUAUCUGGCUGUGUGGUCUGAACCUCACCUCAUCCCUCUGUAUUGGUGCCGCACCUAAGGCUAAGUAUACUUCCGCUCACCCCCCCCCACCCCCCCCACUCCCCCAACUCCCUACCCCCCACCGCCCCACCCCCUCUGGUCUGCCCUGCACUGCACUGCGGCCAUGCGCAGUGCUCCAGGCCUGCUUGGUGUGGACAUGGUGGUGACCCGUGUCAAGGACCAGAAUGGAUUACAGAUGAUCGUUGGCCAACAGGUGGCAGAAGAGGAAUUCCUGCCUUCCUCAAGAGGAACACCUACCCCUUGGCUUAUGCUGGGGUCGGAUUUUGAUUUAUAUUUAUCUUUUGGAUGUCAGUCAUACAGUCUGAUUUUGUGGUUUGCUAGUGUUUGAAUUUAAGUCUUAAGUGACUGUUACAGAAAUGUAUUAAGAGGCUUUAUUUGUAGAAUUCAUUUUAAUUACAUUUAAUGAGUUUUUAUUUUGAGUUCCUUAAAAUUCCUUAAAGUUUUUAGUUUCUCUUUACAAAUUCCUUAACCUUUUGGCAGUAGAUAGUCAAAGUCAAAUCAUUUCUAAUUUUUAAAAAAUGUGCUGAUUAUUGUCUUUGAAAUUGACUUAACUACUUUCCUUUGGAUUUUGAAGAGUCUGUAGCACAGAAACAGUUAAAAAUUUAACUUCAUGAUCUAAUGUAAAAAAGAGUGUUUGAAGGUUUACACAGGUCCAGGCCUUGCUUUGUUCCCAUCCUUGAUGCUGCACUAAUUGACUAAUCACCUACUUAUCAGGCAGGAAACUUGAAUUGCUGUGGUCUGGUGUCCUCUAUUCAGACUUAUAUGGGAGUAUUAAUGUCCACAUUUCAAUUUUUUGUUGUAUUCUGCCUGCCUAGCAUCCAGUUCCUCCCCAGCCCUGCUCCCAGCAAACCCCCCUAGUCUAGCCCCAGCCCUUCUCCCACCCCACCCCAGCCCUGCCCCAGCCCCUGCCCCUGCCCCAGCCCCAGCCCGACCCCAGCCCCAGCUCCAGCCCCCUAAGCCCCCAGCCCUAGCCCCAGUCCUAGUUCCUCAGUCCCGCCCAGCUUCUCUGGAAAGUCACUCUAAGUUUCAUUGAUUCAGUGCUCAAAAUAAGUUGUCCAUUGCUUAUCCUAUUAUACUGGGAUAUUCUGUUUAUCCUUGGCAUCGCUGAUCUUCAGUACUGACUCCUUGACCAUUUUCAGUUAAUGCAUACAAUCCCAUUUGUCGGUGAUCUCAGAACGGAAUUUCUUUACUCAGUACGUUGAAGUUAGGGAAUGUCAAUUGAGAGCCUUCUAUCAGAGCAUUAUUGCCCACAGUUUGAGUUACUAAUCAUUUUCCCAAUCCCCUGCCCUUAAAGGAGAAACCAUUUCUCUGUCAUUGCUUCUGUAGUCACAGUCCCAAUUUUGAGUAGUGACCUUUUAUUGUGUACUGUGUUGGCCACCUAAAACGCUUUGCAUUGAGUAAAAUUCUAAUUGCCAAUAAUCCUACCCAUUGGAUUAGACAGCACUCUGAACCCCAUUUGCAUUCAGUAGGGGGUCUCAGACAACCCGUCUUUUGUUGGACAGUUAAAAUGCUCAGUCCCAAUUGUCAUAGCUUUGCGUAUUAAACAAAGGCACCCUACUGCGCUUUUUGCUGUGCUUCUGGAGAAUCCUGCUGUUCUUGGACGAUUAAAGAACAAAGUAGUAAUUGCUAAUUGUCUCACCCAUUAAUCUUGAAGGCUACCAGUCGCCCUUGCAUUUGCCUUGAGGCAGUGCUGACUACCUGAGAUUUAAGAGUUUCUUAAAUUAUUGAGUAAAAUCCCAAUUAUCCAUAGUUCUGUUAGUUACAGUAUGGCCUUUGCAAACAUCUUUGCGUAACAGCAGAGGGACUCAUUCUUAGAGCCCCUUCCCUUGGAAUAUUAAUGGAUACAAUAGUAAUUAUUCAUGGUUCUGCCUAACAAGAGAGACUCACUUAUAUGUAUGCCCUUAUCAUUGCUCAUAGGUAGUGUGAACUGCCUACCACCUGGCAUUAAUAUGUAAAACACUAAAUGCCUAUGGUCCCACUCGUUAGUCUAGGAUAUCUCCUUUGCCAUUGCUGCUGAGUUCUGACUACCCAAGUUCCCUUCUCUUAAACAGUUGAUAUGCAUAAUUGCAUAUAUUCAUGGUUCUGUGCAAUAAAAAUGGAUUCCCACCCCAUCCCACCUUCUGUGGGAUAUUGCUAACGAGUGCAGAUUAUUCAAUAACAGCCCUUGGACAGUUAAUUUGCACAGUUGAAAUUGUCCAAAGUCCUGUCCAUUAGAAAGGGACUCUGUAUCCUAUUUGCAUGUUACAAUGUGGGCUGAUCACCCAAGGACUCUUCUUGUGCAUUGAUGUUCAUAAUUGUGUUUGUCCACGAUCUUGUGCACUAACCCUGCCACUCCCUUUGUAUUCCAGCAGGGGACCCUUACUACUUAAGACCUCUGUACUAGGACAGUUUAUGUGCACAAUCCUAAGUGAUUAGAACUGAGUCUUUUAUAUCAUGGUCCCUGCAUCAUCUUUGCUUUACAUCAAGAGGGUGCUGGUUACCUAAUGCCCCUCCUCCAGAAAUUAUUGAUGUGCAAAAUGCAAUUUCCCUGUCUGCUGUUAGUCUGGGGUCUCAUCCCCUCAUAUUCCUUUUGUUUUACAGCAGGGGGUACUUGGGACUGUUAAUGCGCAUAAUUACAAUUAUGGUCUUUUCCAUUAAAUUAAGAUCCUAACCCUCUUAGCAUUACAGUAGAGGGUGCUAAUCACAAAGACUUUUCUUUUGUACUGUUAAUGUGCUACUUGCAUUUGUCCCUCUUCCUGUGCACUAGAGACCCCACUUACUUCCCUUGUGCUCAGGAGUGGAUGACCUCUACUCAAGACCUUUGUACUAGGAUAGUUAAUGUGAACCAUGGCAGUUCAUCACAGCAAUGUCUUUCAGAUCACAUCCAUUGUACCCUCCUUGUUUUACAGCAAGGGGUAUUAAUUACCCAUGUUACCUUUUCCUGGGACUAUGAAUGUGCAAAAUUCCGAUGUUAGUGAUCUCUCCCUUUAAACCAAUGUUCUACCCCUUUUAUAUUAUAUAAAGGGAUGCUGGCAACCCAAAGUCCUUCUCUUGGGACUCUUAAUGUGUAUAUUUCUAAUUGUCCACGACUCUUAAUGUGCAUAUUUUCAAUUGUCUGUGGUACCUCGCAGUAAGCUAAUAUCUUGACUCCUCAGUAUCAUAGCAGGGGGUACUGAUUUCCUGAAGUCUUUCUUGAACUUCCAGUGUGCAAAAUUGCCCUGAGGCCGGGUGUGGUGGCUCACACCUGUAAUCCCAGCACUUUGGGAGGCUGAGGUGGAAGGAUUCCUUAAGGCCAGGAGUUUGAGACCAGCCUGGCCAACAUGAAAGAAAAAUAAAGUAAAACAGUUGCCCUGGAAUCCCAUCCCCCUCAUCCCUCCUUGGCAUAGCAGCAGGAGUGCUAAGCUAGUUCUCCUAUACUGCUUAAAUGCGCAUAAUUAACAGUAGUUGAUGUGCCUCUAUGUUAGAGUGGAAUUCCCGCUUCCUUGCUCCAUUUGCAUUACUGCAGGAGCUUCUAACUAGCCUGAAUUCAUUCUCUUGGACUGUUAAUGUGCAUACUUACAUUUAUUCCUGUACCUUUUUACCAUGCAAGGACCCCACCCACUCUAUUUACAUCCCAGCAGGAAGUACCUACUACUUAAGACCCUUUGACUAGUAAAGUUAGCAUGCAUAAUCUUAGUUGUUAUAUACACAUUUUCAUUUGUACACAGCUGUGCCUUUUAUCAGGACUCCUGUACUUAUCAAAGCAGAGAGUGCUAACCAACAUUAAGUCCUUCUUCGGACUGUAGAUGCAUGUAUUUGCAGUUGUCAGUGGUCCUUCAAUUAGACUUGGGUUUCUGACCUUUCACACCCUCUUUGCUUUAUUGCAUGGGGUACUAUUCACUUAAGGCCUCUUUCUCAAACUGUUAAUGUGCCUAAUGACAAUUACAUUAGGAUCCUUCCUUUUGAAGGACAGCAUGGUUGGUGACACCUAAGGCCCCAUUUCUUGGCCUCUCAAUAUGUGUGACUGUAUUUGUCCAGGUUGCUAUGCACUAGUGAAGGGAAGUGCCCCCCUCAUCACCACUUUUCCCUUCCAGCAGGAAGUGCCCACCCCAUAAGACCCUUUUAUUUGGAGAGUCUAGGUGCACAAUUGUAAGUGACCACAAACAUGCCUCUUGGACAUUAAUGUGCGUAAUUGCACACUGCUCAUUCCAUGUGAAUAAGGUCCUACUCUCCAACCCCUUUUGCACUACAGAAGGGGUGCUGAUAACCAAGUUCCCUUUUCGUGCCAUGUUAUGUGUGAUUAUAAUUGUCUGGGAUCCUAUGCACUAGAAAAGGAGGGUCCUCCCACAUACCUCAGUCUCACCUUUCCCUUCCAGCAGGGAGUGCCCACUCCAUAAGACUCUCAAAUUUGGACAGUCAAGAUGUGUAAUUGUUAAGUGAACACAACCAUGCACCUUAGACAUGGAUGUGCAUAACUACACAUAGCUCAUCCUAUCUGAAUAAAAUCCUACUCUCAGACCCCUUUUGCAGUACAGCAGGGAUGCUGAUCACCAAGGCCCUCUUUCCUGGCCUGGUAUGUGUGCGAAUAUGUUUGUCUUGGUUCCUGUGUACUAGAUGUGGAAGCCUCCCCCGCCACACCCCCACCCCAAUCUUUCUUUCCCUCCGGCAGGGAGUCCCUGUUCCGUAAGACCCUUACAUUUGGACAAUCAAGGUGCACAACUGUAAGUGACCACAGGCAUGCACGUUGGACAUUAAUGUGCAUAACUGUACAUGGCCCAUUUCAUCUGAAUAAGGCCCUACUCUCAGACCCUUUUUGCAAUGCAGCAGGGGUGCUGAUCACCAGGGCCCCUUUUCCUGGCCUGUUACGUAUGUGAUUAUAUUUGUCUGGGUUCCUGUGUGUUAGACAUGGAAGCCUCCCCUGCCACACCCCACCCUCAAUCUUCCUUUCCCUUCCGGCAGGGAGUGCCCCUUUCAUAAGACGCUUACAUUUGGGCAAUCAAGGUGCACAGUUGUAAGUGACCACAGGCACGCACCUUGGACAUUAAUGUGCGUAAUUGCACAUUGCCCAUUCCAUCUGAAUAAGGUCCUACUCUCAGACCUCUUGCAGUACAGCAGGGGUGCUGAUCACCAAGGCCCCUUUUCCUGGCCUGUUUUGUGGGUGAUUAUAUUUGUCUGGGUUCCUGUGUAUUAGACAAGGAAGCCUUUCCCCUCCUCCGCCCCCACUCCCAGUCUUCCUUUCCCUUCCAGCAGGGAGUACCGUCUCCAUAAGACCAUUACAUUUGGACAAUCAAGGUGCACAAUUGUAAGUGACUACAGCCAUGCACCUUGGACAUUAAUGUGCAUAACUGCACAUGGCCCAUCCCAUCUGAAUAAGGUCCUACUCUCAGAUGCCUUUUGCAGUACAGCAGGGGUGCUAAAUCACCAGGGCCCUUUUUCCUGGCCUGUUAUGUGUGAUUAUAUUUGUCCUGGUUUCUGUGUAAUAGACACGAAAGCCUCCCCUGCCACACCCCACCUCCAAUCUUCGUUUCCCUUCCAGCAGGGAGUGUCCACUCCAUAUACCCUUACAUUUGGACAAUCAAGGUGCACAAUUGUAAGUUACCACAGGCACGCACUUUGGACACUAAUGUGCGUAACUGCACAUGGCCCAUCCCAUCUGAAUAAAGUCCUACUCUCAGAUCCUUUUCGCAGUACAGCAGGGGUGCUGAUCACCAGGGCCCCUUUUCCUGGCCUGUUAUGUGUGUGAUUAUAUUUCUUCCAGUUCCUGUGUAAUAGACAUGGAAACCUCCCCUGCCACACUCCACCCCCAAUCUUCCUUUACCUUCCGGCAGGGAGUGCCUGCUCCAUAAGACCCUUACAUUUGGACAAUCAAGGUGCACAAUUGUAAGUGACCACAACCAUGCACCUUGGACAUAAAUGUGUGUAACUGCACAUGGCCCAUCCCAUCUGAAUAAGGUCCUACUCUCAGACCCCUUUUGCAGUACAGUAGGGGUGCUGAUAACCAAGGCCCCUUUUCCUGGCCUGUUAACGUACGUGAUUAUAUUUGUCUGGGUUCCAGUGUAUAAGACAUAGAAGCCUCCCCUGCCCCACCCCAACCCCAAUCUUUUCCUUCUGGCAGGGAGUGCCUGCUCCAUAAGAACCUUACAUUUGGACAGUCAAGGUGCACAAUUGUAAGUGACCACAGCCAUGCACCUUAGACAAUAAUGUGUGUAACUGCACACGACCUAUCUCAUCUGAAUAAGGUCCUACUCUCAGACCCCUUUUGCAGUACAGCAGGGGUGCUGAUAACCAAGGCCCAUUUUCUUGGCCUGUUAUGUGUGUGAUUAUAUUUGUCCGGGUUUCUGUGUACUAGACAAGGAAGCCUCCUCUGCCCUACCCUACCUACCUGUAAUCUUCCUUUUCCUACCAGCAGGGAGUGCUCACUCCAUAAGACCCUUACAUUUGGACAAUCAAGGUGCACAAUUGUAGGUGACCACAACCAUGCAUCUUGGAAAUUGACGUGCAUAACUGCACACGGCUUAUCCUAUUUGAAUACGGUCCUACUCUCAGACCCCCUUUGCAGUAUAGCUGGGGUGCUGAUCACUAAGGCCUCUUUUCUUGGCUUGUCUGUAUUCUUGUGUACUAGCUAAGGACACCUUCUCAUGGACUCCCUUUGCUUUUCAAGAAGGAGUACCUAUUACUUUAAGAUUCUUAUAUUUGUCCAAAGUACAUGGUUUUAAUGGACCACAACAGUGUCCCUUGGACGUUAAUGUAUAUAAUCACCACAUGGUUCAUCCUAAUUAAACAAGGUCGUACCCUCUCACCCUCCAUUUGCAGUAUACCAGGGUUGCUGACCCCUAAGUCCCAUUUUCCUGGCUUAUUGACAUGCAUAAUUGCAUUUAUGUGGGUUCUUGUGCCCUAGACAAGGAUGCCCCACCUCUUUUCAAUAGUGGGUGCCCACUCCUUAUGAUCUUUACAUUUGAACAGUUAAUGGGAAUAAUUGCAGUUGUCCACAACCGUAUCACUUCUAGGACCAUUGCACCUCUUUUGCAUUACUGUGGGAUAUAAUGCUUGCCUGCAAGGCCCCUUCUGGUGGACUAUCAACAUACAUAAUUGAAAUUUUCUUUUGUCUUUGUCAGUAGAUUAAAGUCAUACCCCAUCACCUUUCCUUUGUAGUACAGCAGGGUGUCCUGAUCAACCAAAGUCCUGUUAUUUUGGACUGUUAAUAUGCGCAAUUACAUUUGCUCCUGGUCUGUGCACUAGAUAAGGAUCCUGCCUACUUUCUUAGCGUUUUUAGCAGGUAGUGCCCACUACUCAAGACUCUUUCACUUGGAAUGUUCAUGUGCACAAACACAAUUCUCUAAGCAUGUUCCUGUACCACCUUUGCUUUAGAGCAGGGGGAUGAUAAUCACUUAGUGCCCCUUCUCUUGGACUUAAUAUGCAUUAAUGCAAUUGUCCACCUCUUCUUUUAGACUAAGACUUGAUCUCCACAUACUCCCCUUGCAUCAGGGGGAUAUUAAUUAUGAAUGAACCCUUUUCUUUUAAUAUUAAUGUCACAAUUUUAUUUGUGGACCUGUGUAGUAGAAAAAGACUCUAUGUUCCUUCUACUACCCUUUGGAUUGCUGCUGAAAAGUGCUAACUGCUCAUAAUCUCAGCUCUUGGACAAUUAAUAUGCAUUAAUAACAGUUAUCAAGGGCACUGAUCAUUAGAUAAGACUCCUGCCUCCUCGUGCAUACAUCGGGGUACUGACCCACUAAGGCCCCUUGGACUGUUAAUGUGAAUAUUUGCAAUUAUACAUGUCUCCUUCUGUUAGAAUGGGAUAUUAUGCCUUAGUAUCCCCUUUGCUUUACUGCAGGGGCUGCCAACUACUCAAAACUUCUCCUGGGACUGUUAAUAGGCACAAUGGCAGUUAUCAAUGGUUUUUUCCCUCACUGAUCUUGUUAAGCAAGCACUGCACCCCACUCUUAGUUUCCCAUGGCAUAAUAAAGUAUAAGCAUUGGAAUAUUCCAUGCACUUGUCCAUCAAACAGUGGACCAUACUCCCACCCCUUCUGCAUUGCACCAGUGUGUAAAAUCACAGGUAGCCAUGGUGUCAUGCUUUAUGUACGAAGUCUUGCCUUUCUGCCCCUUGUGUGCCCUUGGCCCCUUUUUACAGACUAUUGCUCACAAUCUUAGAUAUCCAUAUAUCCAGAUAUUAGAUAAGAUUGUGCUCUCUCCCUCCUCCCUUCCCCCUGGCCUGCCCCAUUUGCCUCUUUGCUGGGUAAUGUUGACUGGACAAGGCCCUUUCUCUUGGAUUUAAAAAAUACUCAGUUGCACUUUCCUUGGUCCCAUCCAUUAUACAUGAACCCCUCUACUUCCUUUUGUAUUGCUUCUGAGUAUGCUGACUACCCAAAGCCCCUUCUGUGUUAUUAAUGAACACAGUACUGAUUGUCCCAUUUUUCAGCCCAUCAGUCCAAGAUCUCCCUACCACUUUGUUGUGUUUGUGCAGUGUUGACUAUGAAAAGCAGGCCUGAACUAGGUGGAUAAGCCUUCAUUCAUUUUCUUUCAUUUAUUAAUGAUCCCAGUUUCAAUUAUUGUCAGAUUCUAGGGACAAGAACCAUUCUUACCCACCUCUGUUACUGCUUUACUGUGCGAAAUACUCAAGGCAAGUCAGACCCAGGGAGCUGGAUUGCCAUCUUUUAUUUUGUGUUUCCAGUGUGCACUAUCAAAUUGUCUCCCCAGUAAGGAAGGUUGGCACUUUCUCUGCAUUCUUCUUUCCAGAGCAGAUUGCCUGGUUAAGAAUCUCUUGUUGUUCCCUUUGUAUAUUGUUAUUGUAAAGUGCCAAAUGCCAGGAUACAGCCAGAAAAAUUGCUGUUAUUAUUAUUUAAAAAAAUUUUUUAAGAAAGACAUCUGGAUUGUAGACUGGACUCAGUAACCUGGUCAUUAUUUUUUUGAAGCCAAAAAAUCCAUUUAUACUAUGUGCCUGAUGACCAGUGUCUCAUUUUAACUGAGGGUGGUGGGUCUGUGGAUAGAACACUGACUCUUGCUACUUUAAUAUUAUCAAAGGCGUUCUAGAGUGGAACUCUUAAGACCAGUAUCUUUGUGUGGGCUUUACCAGGAUUCAUUUUUAGAAAAACUACCUAAAUUUUAUAAUCCUUAAAUUUUUUCAUCUGGAGCACCUGCCCCUACUUAUUUCAAGAAGAUUGCAGUAAAACGAUUAAAUGAGGGAACAUAUGCAGAGGUGCUUUUAAAAAGCAUAUGCCACCUUUUUUUAUUAAUUCGUCUAUCAUAUAAAAUGAAGCAUUUAAUUAUACUAAUAAUUUGAAGUAGUUCGAAGUACCACACUGAGGUGAGGACUUAAAAAUGAUAAGACCAGUUCCCUAUUUUAUAAGAAAAAUAAGCCAAAAUUAAAUAUUCUUUUGGAUAUAAAUUUCAACAGUGAGAUAGCUGCCUAGUGGAAAUGAAUAAUAUCCCAGCCACUAGUGUACAGGGUGUUUUGUGGCAAAGGAGUAUGUAACAUGGAACUGCUCAAGCAAAUAACUAGUUAUCACAACAGCAGUUCUUUGUAAUAACUGAAAAAGAAUAUUGUUUCUCUGAGAAGGAUGUCAAAAGAUCGGCCCAGCUCAGGGAGCAGUUUGCCCUACUAGCUCCUCGGACAGCUGUAAGAAGAGUCUCUGGCUCUUUAGAAUACUGAUUCCACUGAAGAUACCAUGCUGCACGUGUCCUUAGUAGUCAUGUCUCCUUAGGCUCCUCUUGGACAUUCUGAGCAUGUGAGACCCGAGAACUGCAAACAGCUGCAAGAGGCUUCAAAUUCAGCAUAUCGUUCCUUUUGAGAAUCUGGCCAAGCUCCAGCAAAUCUACUUGGAUGGGUUGCCAGCCACCUGGAGAAAAAGAUCUUCCUCAGAAGAAUAGGCUUGUUGCUUUACAGUGUUAGUGAUCCAUUCCCUUUGACGAUCCCUAGGUGGAGAUGGGGCAUGAGGAUCCUCCAGGGGAAAAGGUCACUACCACUGGGCAACAACCCUAGGUCAGGAGGUUCUGUCAGGAUACUUUCCUGGUCCCAGAUGGGAAGAUAAAGUCUCAAAAACAACCACCACACGUCAAGCUCUUCAUUGUUCCUAUCUGCCAAAUCAUUACACUUCCUACAAGCAGUGCAGAGAGCUGAGUCUUCAGCAGGUCUAAGAAAUUUGAACACAUUGAAGGAGGUCAGCCUUCCUACCUGAAGAUCAACAUGCUUGGCACUCUAGCACUUUAGGAGAGCUGAAUGAAUGUGUAUUUCUUAGUCUCUUUCUUCCUUGUCUUUGCUCUUUGUUCUCUAUCUAAAGUGUGUCUUACCCAUUUCCAUCUUUUUCUUGCUAAUUUCUUUCAUGUGUGCCUUUGCCUCAUUUUCUCUUUUUGUUCACAAGACUGGUCUGUGCUUUGUCUUAGACAUAUCUCUCAUUUUUCCUUUUGUUGCUGUUUCUCUUUGCUCUCCUAAAUGUGGCUCUUCUUUCACGCUUUAUUUCAUGUCUCCUUUUUGGGUCACGUGUGUGCUUUUUGUCCUCCUCUUGUUCUGUCUACCUCUCCUUUCUCUGCCUACCUCUCUUUUCUCUUUGUGAACUGUGAUUAUUUGUUACCCCUUCCCCUUCUUGUUCGUUUUAAAUUUCACCUUUUUUCUGAGUCUGGCCUCCUUUCUACUGUUUCUACUUUUUAUCUCACAUUUCUCAUUUCUACAUUUCCUUUCUGCCUCUCUUGGGCUAUUUUCUCCCUUUUUCCUCCCCUGCGUGCCUCAGCAUCUCUUGCUGUUUGUGCUUUUCUAUUUCAGUAUUAAUCUCCGUUGGCUUGUGUUUCUUCUCUGCUUCUUCCCUUUCUACUCACCUUUGAGUAUUUCAGCCUCUUCAUGAAUCUAUCUCCCUCUCUUUGAUUUCAUGUAAUCUUCUCUCCUUAAGUAUUUCUUUGCAUAUGUGGGCAUGUAUACGUGUGUGUGUGUCAUGUGUGGCAGAGGGGCUUCCUAACCCCUGCUUGAUAGGUGCAGAACGUCGGCUAUCAGAAUGAGCGUUGUGGAGCGGUUCCUUAUGCCAGGCUGCCGUGUGAGAUGAUCCAAGACCAAAACAAGGCCCUAGAGUCUAGACUGCAGUAAAACCCAAUACUCAAGUAGGACAGAAGGUGGAAGGCUCAUAUGGAUAAAAGGCCCAAAGUAGAAGACAGAUGGUUUGAGACUUGAGACCCGAGGACUAAGAUGGAAAGCCCAUGUUCCAAGAUAGAUAGAAGCCUCAGGCCUGAAACGAACAAAAGCCUCAAGAGCCAAGAAAACAGAGGGUGGUCUGAAUUGGACAGAAGGCCUGAGUUGGAUGGACGUCUCAAGUCUUGAAUUCGAAGUCUUAAGACCUGGGACAGGACACAUGGAAGGCCUAAGAACUGAGACUUGUGACACAAGGCCAAAGACCUAAGAUUAGCCCAGGGUUGUAGUUGGAAGACCUACAACCCAAGGAUGGAAGGCCUCUGUCACAAAGCCUACCUAUAUGGAUAGAGGACCCAAGUGAAACAGAUAUCUCAAGACUAAAGGCCGGAAUCUGGAGGUCCAUGACCCAGAACCCAGGAAGGAUGGAAGCUUGAAGACCUGGGGAAAUCCCAAGAUGAGAACCCCAAACCCCACCUCUUUUCUAUUGUUUAUACUUCUUACUCUUACAUAUUUCCAGUUCUCCUGUUUCUCUUUAAGCCUGAUUCUUUUGAGAUGUACUUUUUGAUGUUGCCAGUUACCUUAAAGGAACAUAUCUUUAGAUUGACAGUAUUAUGCCUGGGCCAGUCUUGAGCCAGCUUUAAAUCACAGCUUUUACCUAUUUGUUAGGCUUUAGUGUUUUGUAAACUUCUGUUUCUAUUCACAUCUACUCCACUUGAGAGAGACACCAGAAUCCAGUCAGUAUCUAAUCUGGAUUUUGUUAUUCCCCUCAGGAGCAAACAUUCAUAUAGGUGAUACUGUAUUUCAGUCCCCUCUUUUAACCCCAGAAUCCCUAGACUGAGAAGAUAAAAUGGUCAGGUUGUUGGGGAAAAAAAGUGCCAGGCCCUCUAGAGAAAAAUGUGAAGAGAUGCUCCAGGCCAAUGAGAAGAAUUAGACAAGAAAUACACAGAUGUGCCAGACUUCUGAGAAGCAUCUGCCAGCAACAGCUUCCUUCUUUGAGCUUAGGUGAGCAGGAUUCUGGGGUUUGGGAUUUCUAGUGAUGGUUAUGGAAAGGGUGACUGGGCCUGGGACAAAGUGAGGUCCCAAGGGGAUAGCCUGAACUCCCUGCUCAUAGUAGUGGCCAAAUAAUUUGGUGGACUGUGCCAACCCUACUCCUGGGUUUAAUACCCGUCUCUAGGCUUAAAGACGAGAGAACCUGGGACUAUUGAGCACAGAUUUUUUUCCUUCCUGUUUAUGUGGGAAGUUGAUUUAAAUGACUGAUAAUGUAUAUGAAAGCACUGUAAAAUGUAAGAGAAAAACCAAGCCGUGCUCCUUAAUAGUGCAUUGGCAAUCAUGCAUAGUUAACAUUUGAAAGUGCAUAGUUAACAUUUGAAACUGUAAGGGGUCAAAAUCAUAAAUACUUUAGACUGUGGGCCAUACGGUUUCUGUUACGUAUUUGUUUUUUAAACAACCUUUUUAUAAGGUCAAAAUCAUUCUUAGUUUUUGAGCCAAUUGGAUUUGGCCUGCUGCUCAUAGCUUACCACCCCCUGAUGUAUUAUUCGUUAUUCAGAUAAAAUGUCUGAAUACUAAUAAUUUCCUUUUCUGUGCCUGUCCCUGUGCUAGGCACUCAAAAUGCAAUGAUUAUUCACAUGUAGGUGACCUGAAGAAAAAUAGUGAAUAUGCUUUGUAAACUAUAAAGCACUUGUAUUCUACUGUGAUAAACAUUGUGGAUACAAAGAAAGGAGCAAGCAUAAAAAAGUGCUCUUUCAAAAGGAUAUAGUACUAUGCAGACACAAAGAAUUGUUUGAUAAAUGAAUAAAUUAUAUGUAUAUUUGAGGCCAGUUUGUGUUUGCUGCUCUGGUAAUUUUGAGUAAAAAUGCAGUAUUCCAGGUAUCAGAAACGAAAACACAUGGAAACUGCUUUUAAACUUUAAAGUAUACUGAAAACAUAAGGGACUCAGCUUAUUGUGGUCACCUAUAAUGUGCCAGAUACCAUGCUGGGCACUAGAGCUACCAAAGGGGAAAAAAAUACUCUCAUAGAACAAAAAAUUUCAGAAAGGUGCGUAUUAAAGUGCUUUGUAAACUAAAGCACAAUACAAAUGUCAAUGGGCUACAUAUUUAUGAAUGAAUGAAUGAAUGAAAUUAACUGCCUCUUACAUACCAGCUAUUGUUUUGGGUACUGUGAAAUACAAGAUUAAUUCUCCUAUAAUAAAAGGAAAGUUUAUCCUCUAGACUAUUCAGAUGUAAGGAAUGAGAUAUUGCUUGAUUUUAAACAAUCAAGACGUUACUGGUGAGGUUGAGUUAAAUUACUACCGGUACAUUUUCCCGGGUAACCGGGAAGGAGCUAGUAUAGGAAAUGAAGUAAUAGAAGUGAGGUCCAGACCAAAAGUCACUUAAUUAAGCUUGCGAAUGUGCUUUCUAAAUUAUAAAGCACUUGUAAAUGUGAAAAAUUCGAUGCUUUCUGUAUGAAUAAAACUUUCUGUAAGAUAGGUAUUGUCUCUACAAAAUUCUCAUUGUAUACUUAAACCACAAUGAGAAGGGUUCUAUAAGUAGUUAUACAAACCAAGGGUUUAAAUACCUGUUAAAUGGAUCAAUUUUGAUUGCCUACUAUGUGAACUCAUUGUUAAAGGCACUGAAAAUUUACCAUAUUUCAUUUACCCACAGCCAAAAAUAAGGCAAUACCUAUGUUAGCAUUUUGUGAACUCUGAGGCACCAUGUAAAUGUAACUGUUGAUUUUCUUACUUGGUGCUGAGUACUAGGUUAUACAAUUGUGUGAUAGUUAUUAUAUUGUGCAAAUAAAGUAGGAAAAUUUGAGUAACAAUGAUUAACUUUUGAAUACGCAUAUGCAAGGGAUUGGUUGUCUGAAGAAUGCCACUAUAGUAGUUAUCUACUGUGUGCCAAUCUCAUUGCUAGGCAUUGGGGAUGCAAAGAUAAACCAUCUUUAUUGUGUCCUGGGUAGCAGAAGAAAAUAAGUGUAAAAUCAAUUUAUAAUUUCUAAACUGCCACCCAUAUAUAAGCAGUAUCUGCUGAAUGAUCAUUGAUUACUCAUAUCCUUAGAGAUAACAGCUGGGGGCACAAACAUUUAUUAUAAUUAUUGAACCUACAACAGAGACCUUUGUGUAGAUUUACAAAGCCUACAGUUCUAUACAAAUAGGAACGAACUAUUGGCUUACUGAAUGGUGAUUACGUUCUGAUUUACAAAGCCUACAGUUCUAUACAGAUAGGAAUGAACUAUUGGCUUACUGAAUGGUGAUUACUUUCUGUGGGGCUCGGAACUACAUGCCCUAGGAUAUAAAAAAAGAUGUCAUCAUUAUAGAGUGCUCACAGAAGGAAAUGAAGUAAUAGGUGUGAGAUCCAGACCAAAAGUCACUUAAUAAGUUUAUUCAAUGAUGAAAACAUGGGACAAAUGGACUUAAGCUAAGUAGAGAGAUAAAGUCCUGUCCAGAAGAUAUGUGCUCCCUGGCCUGAUUGAAGAGAUGGAAAAUUUUCGCAAAAAACAAGGUGUUGUGGUCUUCCAUCCAGUUUCUUAAGUACUGAUGAUAGAAGUGAAUUAGACCCACCUUGGCCUGGCUUACAGACAGUGAAGGAGUAAAAAUAAAUGCCUCAGGUUUGCUUUUUGAUUCAUUUGAUAAACAAAGCAUCUUUUAUGUGGAAUGUACCUUUCUGGGUCCUGAGGAUGAGAGAGGUGAGGGCAUUAGACUACUGACAGCUGAAGAUAGAAGAACAUCUUUGGCUUGAUUGUGUAAAUAAUAUUUCUGUGCCUAUUCUCUGCAAGGUCCUAUGCUUGGUAAAUUAGUAAAUUAAAUAGGUCUGAUCCAGAAGACACACUCAAUUGCCUUUGAGAUUUAAAAAAAAAAAAAGAAAAAAGAAAAAGGCAAGUUUCUUUCAAAAUGGAGACAUUUUUCCUAGUUUCAGGAAUCCCCCAAAUCACUUGCUCAUUGGCUUAGUUUGAAGCCAGGAGACUGAUGAAAGGACUCAGGGUUUGUUCUUUAAUUUAUUAAGCAAACAUUCUGCUUUUAUUGCAGUUACAUGGUUCAAGAUGAAACAACUAGUUUUAAAGGUAUUUGCUCAUUGGUCUGGCUUAGAGACAGGAAGACAUUUGAGCAAUACAAAAAAUUCUUUCCCAUUUACCAUAUUUAGUAAAAAUUUAUUAAAACUGAAUAAAGUGCUGUUCUUAAGUGCUUGAAAGACCUAAACCAAAGUGCACUUUAUCUCAUUUAUCUUAUGGUGGAAACACAGGAACACAUUCUCUAAGAGACUGUUUCUUUAGUUGAGAGGAAACUUCAUUGAGUAGCUGUGAUAUGUUCGUUACUAAGGAAAAACUAAACAGAUCACCUUUGACAUGCUCUGUAGAGUGGGAAUAAGAAAGGGCUUUUUAUUUUUUCAGUCAUAUGAAUAUUGAUGAAGAUGAUACUAAAUGCUAAAUGAAAUACAUCUGCUCCAAAAGUCAUUUAUUUUGACUUGGAGAUGCAACAAAAACACAAUAAAUGGAAUGAAGUGAUACUCUUCAUCAAACAGAAGUGACUGUUAUAUCAACCAUUGUGUUAAAUGCUAGACAGAAAACAAAAAAGAUCAUGACUAAAAGACACUUGCUUAUUAAUUGGCUUGGAAAGUAGAAUAUAGGAGAAAGGUUACUGUUUAUUAUUUUUUUUCAUGUAUUCAUUCAUUCUACAAAUAUAUUUGGGUGCCAAUAGGUACUUGGUAUAAGGUUUUUGGCCCCAGAGACAUGGGAAAAAAAAAAAUGCAUCCCUUCCCAGAGAAUGCCUAAUACUUUCCUUUUGGCUUGUUUUCUUGUUAGGGGCAUGGCUUAGUCCCUAAAUAACAUUGUGUGGUUUACUUCCUACUCCAUAUCUCUUCUACCACUCUGGCCACUACGAUAAGCAGGGAGCUGGGUUUUGUAGUGAGCUUGCUCCUUAAGUUGCAGGAACUCUCCUUAUAAUAGACACUUCAUUUUCCUAGCCCAUCCCUCAUGAAAAAUGACUGACCACUGCUGGGCACCAGGAGGGAUGAUGACUAACUAAUUCCCAAACCCCAGUCUCAUUGGUACCAGCCUUGGGGAACCACCCAUAUUUGAGCCACAAUUGGUUUUGAAGUGCAUUUACAAGUUUCUGGCAUCACUACCGCUACUGAUUAAACAAGAAUAAGAGAACAUUUUAUCAUCAUCUGCUUUAUUCACAUAAAUGAAGUUGUGAUGAAUAAAUCUGCUUUUAUGCAGACACAAGGAAUUAAGUGGCUUCGUCAUUGCCCUUCUACCUCAAGAGAAUUUAUCCCAAAAUGCUAAGAUAAAUGGAAGACUCUUGAACUUGUGAACUGAUGGGAAAUGCAGAAUCUCUUUUGAGUCUUUGCUGUUUUGAAGAUUGAAAAAUAUUGUUCAGCAUGGGUGACCACCAAAAAGUAAUCUUAAGCCAUCUAGAUGUCACAAUUGAAACAAACUGGGGAGUUGAGUUGCUAUUGUAAAAUAAAAUAUACUGCUUUGAAAACUUUG